GAAGGAAUUUUCCACAAUGGGCGCAAGCCUGAUGGAGCAACGCCGCGUGCGGGAGGACGCCCUUCGGGGUGUAAACCGCUUUUCGAGGGGACGAAGCAAGUGACGGUACCCUCGGAAUAAGGACCGGCUAACUACGUGCCAGCAGCCGCGGUAAGACGUAGGGUCCGAGCGUUGUCCGGAGUUACUGGGCGUAAAGCGCGCGCAGGCGGAUCGUCGCAUCGCUGGUGAAAGCCCCCCGCUCAACGGGGGAGGUCCAGCGAGAUGGGCGAUCUGGAGGCAGGGAGAGGCCAGUGGAAUUCCGGGUGUAGUGGUGAAAUGCGUAGAGAUCCGGAGGAACACCAGUGGCGAAGGCGGCUGGCUGGACCUGACCUGACGCUGAGGCGCGAAGGCGUGGGGAGCGAAC
rnacentral:rRNA from 1 species